rnacentral:rRNA from 1 species
CCUUAGAGUUUGGAUCCUGGCUCAGAUUGAACGCUGGCGGCAGGCCUAACACAUGCAAGUCGAGCGGUAACAUUUCUAGCUUGCUAGAAGAUGACGAGCGGCGGACGGGUGAGUAAUGCUUGGGAAUAUGCCUUAGGGUGGGGGACAACAGUUGGAAACGACUGCUAAUACCGCAUAACGUCUACGGACCAAAGGGGGCUUCGGCUCUCGCCCUUAGAUUAGCCCAAGUGGGAUUAGCUAGUUGGUGAGGUAAUGGCUCACCAAGGCGACGAUCCCUAGCUGGUUUGAGAGGAUGAUCAGCCACACUGGAACUGAGACACGGUCCAGACUCCUACGGGAGGCAGCAGUGGGGAAUAUUGCACAAUGGGCGCAAGCCUGAUGCAGCCAUGCCGCGUGUGUGAAGAAGGCCUUAGGGUUGUAAAGCACUUUCAGUAAGGAGGAAAGGUUAGUAGUUAAUACCCUGC